GACGAACGCUGGCGGCGUGCCUAAUACAUGCAAGUCGAGCGAAGCGGCGGAUGGGCGAGUAACGCGUGGGUAACCUGCCCUUAAGUCUGGGAUACCAUUUGGAAACAGAUGAUAAUACCGGAUACUAAAGGUUGGACCUGCGAUGCAUUAGCUAGUUGGUAAGGUAACGGCUUACCAAGGCGAUGAUGCCGCGCCGAGGUGCGGGGCAGAGCGGCCGCAAUGUGACUGGGACACGGCCCAAACUGCGACGGGAGACAGCAGUAGGGAAUCUUCCACAAUGGACGAAAGUCAGAUGGAACAACGCCGCGUGAGUGAAGAAGGGUUUCGGAUCGUAAAACUCUGUUGUUGGUGAAGCGGUAAUCAACCAAAAAGUCACGGCUAACUACGUGCCAGCAGCCGCGGUAAUUC
rnacentral:rRNA from 1 species